CAGCUCAAAGAAUGACUGAAACGGAAGCUUGGGGAUGGCUUGGAGACAGACACAUUCAGGUGUACUGCUGUUUUGUCCUCAGCCUGCACCAUGAGAGAAGGACCUUUCUCUCUUCAUCUGUAGGAUCAGCACUGAAGCUCAGGAACAGAGGAAAUUAAAGCAAGUCGUUGUUAAGUAUACAGCCCCGCUCUCUUAAAAUGUGGACAUUUGAUCUUCUAAGAUAAGACUUUUUGAGCCACAAGCUACUCUUCUGAUUGGAUGUAGAACAAAACAUAGCAAGUCAUCGUCCACGUUCUUUCUAAACUUUGCAUCGUUGAAUGAAGAGGCCCUAUCUAAUAAGCUGUAGAACUGAACACUCCUCUUCAGUUUGAGAGGCUGUUCAAGCUUGUAAAGGCACGUGCAGGCAGCGCCACCAUGUGUUUUCUGAAGAGACCCAUAAGGCUACGCGGGAGAAGGAAUGAACGCCAGGACUCUCCCCAGCCAACGUAUACCUAAGUGGGACUUCUCAGUAUAAUAUGCUUGGCGCAUCUGUUAGGGGUGGCCCUUUCUCAGCCAUUUGACAACUUACUUCAGUCAAACCUAAUAAACUUCCAACUCUCAUUUUCCAAUUAUUAUUAAAAUUUCAAAGCAGGUAGGUGUAAAGUACCAGGUAUGUAGUAAACUGACUAUUUUUUCCCCCAUAAAAACAUUUGAAAAUUAAUAAUUGGUCCAUACAACUAAGCAGCGGUGUUGCGUGAGUGGUUAUUAAACUAUUA
rnacentral:lncRNA from 1 species